rnacentral:rRNA from 1 species
GGGCCCGCACAAGCGGUGGAGCAUGUGGUUUAAUUCGAUGCAACGCGAAGAACCUUACCAAGCCUUGACAUCCUCGGAACUUUCCAGAAAUGGAUUGGUGCCUUCGGGAACCGAGUGACAGGUGCUGCAUGGCUGUCGUCAGCUCGUGUCGUGAGAUGUUGGGUUAAGUCCCGUAACGAGCGCAACCCUUGUCCUUAGUUGCCAGCACUUCGGGUGGGAACUCUAAGGAGACUGCCGGUGACAAACCGGAGGAAGGUGGGGAUGACGUCAAGUCCUCAUGGCCUUUAUGCUCAGGGCUACACACGUGCUACAAUGGCCGGUACAAAGAGUCGCAAGACCGCGAGGUGGAGCUAAUCUCAUAAAACCGGUCUCAGUUCGGAUUGGAGUCUGCAACUCGACUCCAUGAAGUUGGAAUC